UCUAACUACUAACCGUACCAAGUCAAAAUGUUUAACUUACAAAAUUUAACAACAUUUGCCCUCAUUGUUGUCAUUGGAUUCCUAAUGAAUCUAGGAAUGGCGGAUGCCGAAACUACUCGUCGUCCACGUUGGAUUUUUCCACUUUUAUAGGUGUUAUGAAAACGUUUUCUGUUUUAACAGUAACUAUUAAUUCUAGCAGUUACUGAGGACCAGUUGUCCAAUAAAACACAUAUAAUUGCAAUCAGAUUAAAAUUCAA